rnacentral:rRNA from 1 species
AGGAUGAACGCUAGCGACAGGCCUAACACAUGCAAGUCGAGGGGCAGCACAAGGAGCAAUCUGAGGUGGCGACCGGCGCACGGGUGAGUAACACGUAUGCAACCUGCCUGUAAGCGGGGAAUAACCCGUUGAAAGACGGACUAAUACCGCAUAAUACUAAAUUAUUGCAUGGUAACUUUAUUUAAACAUUUAUGGCUUACAGAUGGGCAUGCGCAUGAUUAGCUAGUUGGAGAGGUAACGGCUCCCCAAGGCAACGAUCAUUAGGGGUUCUGAGAGGAAGGUCCCCCACACUGGUACUGAGACACGGACCAGACUCCUACGGGAGGCAGCAGUGAGGAAUAUUGGUCAAUGGACGAGAGUCUGAACCAGCCAAGUCGCGUGCAGGAAGAAUGUCCCUAUGGAUUGUAAACUGCUUCUGCAGGGGAAUAAAGUGCAUCACGUGUGAUGUUUUGUAUGUACUCUGCGAAUAAGGAUCGGCUAACUCCGUGCCAGCCGCCGC